UGGGCAACCUGCCCUCAGCACUGGGAUAACCCCGGGAAACCGGGGCUAAUACCGGAUACGACCUCGGCGGGCAUCCGCUGAGGUGGAAAGUGUCAGUGGCUGAGGAUGGGCCCGCGGCCUAUCAGCUUGUUGGUGGGGUAGUGGCCUACCAAGGCGACGACGGGUAGCCGGCCUGAGAGGGUGACCGGCCACAUUGGGACUGAGACACGGCCCAGACUCCUACGGGAGGCA
rnacentral:rRNA from 1 species